GCCAAAAUGAUGUUUUUACGACAGAAAAACAACAACAAAACUUAACAAGAUAAAACAUCUAGCAUUCAGAUCAUGUAUACUACAGAAAAUCAUGUUAUAAUGUUUCUUCCAAAGCAUGAGUUAACAAUCUACGAUCUUAGUCAUGGCAGAGAAUAUUGUGAAAGUAUAGACUAUUCUGGCGUGUAGAUGACGUGACUGUUUUAACGUUUUUAACAUUCAUAUGGUUCAAAGAUUCAAAUCCUUCUGGCACACAUUUAGAGUUCAUUUUGUCAAUCAAUUUAUUUACAUAUAUUGAUCAAUUCAUUUAUUAAGUAUUUUUCUGGCACAAAAGCAGGCGUUUUAUAUUUCUAUACUAUAUAGGCUUGCAAUUCCAUGUCGAAAAAUCAAUUUUGUUUUGAAAAUGCAUAAGUUUCAACCAAGUUAAAUUUUUUCAAAAGGACUUAAAAAAACAUGUUAUUCAUAUUGUGUAAGGAUAUUUUCAUCUUAUUUUCAAAAUAAAGUUUUAGUUUAGCAUGAAGUGUGUCUUUAACGUUUUUAUUUAAAACAUUUAUAUCAAAAAUACUAAACUAA